CCUACGGGUGGCAGCAGUGGGGGAUAUUGCACAAUGGAGGAAACUCUGAUGCAGCGACGCCGCGUGAGGGAAGACGGUCUUCGGAUUGUAAACCUCUGUCUGUGGGGGAGCAAAUGACGGUACCCAAAGAGGAAGCUCCGGCUAACUACGUGCCAGCAGCCGCGGUAAUACGUAGGGAGCGAGCGUUGUCCGGAAUUACUGGGUGUAAAGCGAGCGUAGGCGGGCGAGAAAGUUGAAGGUAAAAUCCCCCGGCUUAACUGCUAGCUGCGUUUGAAACUGCUGGACUAGAGUGAAGUAGAGGCAGGCGGAAGGCGCGGUGUAGCGGUGAAAUGCGUAGAUAUUGGGAAGAACACCGAUGGCGAAGGCAGCCUACUGGGGCUGAACUGACGCUGAGGCACGAAAGCGUGGGUAGCGAACAGGAUUAGAUACCCGAGUAGUC
rnacentral:rRNA from 1 species